UUGUGCAAUCAUUUACCUUCAAACUUUUUGAGCUCCAGGGGAAAACCUGGAAAGUGCAGGGCUUAAGUGUACUUCAUUUUGCUAACCUCCCUCCUUCCUGAUAUCUUAAUUGUUUUUGUCCUUGUUUUGUUUACAUCUCUUACUUCCUAUUUUGCCUUUUCAGUUACAGGAGAUGUUCAGAAGGAUUCUGGUUCUGGGGCUCUUGGCAUUGGCUCUCUGCAGUAGAUUUGCCCAGGAAUAAGCACAUUUGCUAUGAGAAGAACCAGAUGCAAAAUGUCAUCUCACUUCUCUGUAAUGGCCUUAUCUCUGGAAUUUUGACUCGUCCAGUUCCAACUUUCCAUGGAACUUGACAGGCUGAUGCUACCAAAUCAUACGGAAGUGAAAAUGGCCACAAAUCGUCAAGAUUCUUUUACAAAAGGGCAGUGUGUGUGCUGGCUCCAUCCCACCCAGGAGCGAAGGAAUUCUCGUUUGGUUCUUUAAUCAUCAGAAGUGCAUUUUGUCAGAAAAGGCAGAAUCCAUUGCUAAGUCACCUAAGGACAUCAAGCUUGAGUCUUCUCUGAUUAACCCUCAAGGAAUCAGUGAUUCGUUUGAUAUACUUGGACUGUAUUGAUGGGAUGCUUAUUAUUGAACCAAUCAUUUAAUUCAUCCGAGGCGAAUUUGUUUUUCUUCUAAAAGAAUAAUGCCCACAGGACCAGGAUCAAAUAUGGAAAACCUGGGAUGGAAUAAAUGAGUUAGGACAUGUGAGCUGCUUAGAAGAGUACCUGAUGCAAGCCAGCUCUCUACGAGGUCAACUAUGAUCAUCCUGAUUGACCCUGAUGAUGAACUUGCUCAAGCUCAGAAGCUCCCUGCAGAAACACUGGAGACUUUUAGGAGAAACAUCGAGACCUAGUGAAACAAAACCCUUAUGGUCCACCUCCAAAUAUUUAUUUUCUUGAAUGGAAGAGUUGACCUAUAUAUAAAAAUAUGCACCAGUUCUAACCAUGCCAAAGAAACUAUCUUAAAUUUAGCUUUUGUACUAGAUUUUUUAAUUUUAAUUCUCCUAAAGCUCUAUCAUUAAUUUAUAUUAUUUUUAUUGAUAAGGAAUUUUCUAAACAUGUCAGCAGCAGAGAAUAUUAUGCACACAUAUAUGUGUGUGUAAGUGUGUAGAUUUGCAUAUGCCAGCAUGAUCCCUAUCAGCAAACACUUUAGCAAAAAUAUUUUAUGUAUAUAUUUACGAAGGAAUAUUACAAGGGAAAGGCUAUGCUUAUGUCCAAUUUUUACGUAGACUUUUAAUUUUGGAAUAAUUUUAGAAUUACACAAAAGUUGCACAGAUAGUCAGCGAGUUCCCAUAUAUCCUUCACCCAAUUGCUUGACCUUAACAAUGCUAUAUUUGUUGAAACUAAGAAAGUAACAGUGCUGCAUUAUUAUUAACUAAAUAACAGACUUCAUUCGAAUUUCACCAGUAUUUUCACUGAUGUCUUUUCUCCAUUCUAAGAUCCCACCCAGGAUCCCACAUUGCCUCUAGUUGUCACAUCCCCCCAGUCUCCUCUGUCAGUGACAGCUUCUCUGUCUUCCCUUGCUUUUUAUGACCCCGGGCAGCUUUGAAGAGUGCUGGCAUCCUGUUGAAUGACCUAGUUAGGGAUGAUUUUAUCUGAGUGAUGGCAUCAGUGGUGCUUUCAUUUUCUUUCUUGCCUCUCCAUAUUGCCUUUCUUGCAUCUUAUUAAUGAACUCUAAUGACAGCAUAUAACUUUUGCAGUUGUAAUGUUGGCUGGGCAUCUUACAUCACAAGCUCACAGCCCGCCUUUGAGCUCUGGCUCUUCCCGUGGCACCGGCUGCACACAGGCACAGACUCAACUUACCUCGUCUUUCUCUUACUUUCUGCCUGGGGCUUUGGGUGCGUCUGUGCCCGGUGCCUGCCAGAGCCUCUUCACCCACAGAAACAUGCCUAACCAAGCCGGGACGGGAUCUAGUGGAUGUGCAACUCCUGCCUACCAUGUUUCAGGCAGGAGCUUUCCAGAUCAUUCUAGGUGGCUCCUUCUGUUCUAUUCUCAAAUGUACCCUUUGGGGUGUCUCAAGAAGGACAGACCUCAGCGUGGUACCCACUUCACAUUGGAUUAGCUUUUCUGCCUGCUAUGAUUUACUCUCCCCAGUUCCCUGACUCAGUUUCCUUUUGUAGACUUUUCCUUGGGGACGGGGGAUGGGUGGUGGUGUGCAAUCCAAGCUCAAAUACUAGAACAAAAUAACUUUUAAAAUUAAUUAAUUUAUUAAGCACAGUGAAGCCUUUUGAGCUCAUAAAAGCCCAUAAAAUAAUAUGAGAAGAAAAAAGAAAAUCUCAGCAGGCAUAUUUUUCUAGGUUUGGGGCACUAAAAUUCAUCCACAAAGACAGGAAAACUACAGAUUAGGGAGCUUAAAAUUGGUCUUCUUUCUCUACUGUAUUUUGUAUUUGCACUGUGAGACUGUUGGAGGAAACAGAGUCGCAACAAAUUAUUCUGUCAAACACAAGCAUCCCUGUCUUUUGCAAUUGGAACAGCUCAGCCACGGCACAAAUAGAAACACAAAUUGAAACUAAUCACAAAGUGAUAUGCUAUUGUGAAGUAUUCCUGUGUGGGAGACAGUAACAAAUGAAGGCCAGGAUUUCCCCAUUGCCAUGGACUCUAACACACAAUGCUCCUUUGCUCAUUUACAGAAAACGCAUUUCUUACCUAGUUCAAGGCACUGUGGGAGGCCCUGGGCAUAGAGCGGUGAACAAAACACACACACUCCCUGCAGAAGAGACCCCUCCAUUAGUCAGGAAAGGAUAAACUAAACAGCUGAACACUCAAAUAAACCACACUUAAAAAUGUGACAGGCAGGGGAAGGAAAACAUCAGGAGGCUAUGAAAGAGACUUAUUUAAAUUGGGUAGCCAGGGAGGACUUCUCUUAAGAGCUCAGAUUUAACCUGACACCUGAAACAUGGUUGUCUCUUUUGUAAAAAAGGAAGACAUGGAAUUCCCCUGAAAAUGAGUGAAUGGCUAGUGGAGAAGCAAAGAGAAAUUAUAAAAGAUUUUUUCUAAAAAAUGGUUACUGGAAACACAAUAUGAUUACUCAACAGGGUAGGGUAGAGCACAUUAGAAAUAGUAAAGCAAAACAACAUUAUCUUUUGUCUAAAUUCAUUUAUUUCAAUCACUGGAUUAAAAAAAAAACAGGUAUAGGUAUACUUCUAGAAUUCCUAUUUAGAAUUCCCUCAUUCUGUCAAAGGGGUUAACAUCUAUUAUCAAUUAUACACCUGGG